UGAGCAUACCUGUUGUCAGAUGUGUCCAAAACGUGAUCGCAGGCGUAAGUGUGACUGUGUGGUAAGAAGCUUGCUUCCCAACCAUAUGCUUCCGGGUUCAGUCCCACUGCAUCACGCCUUUUCCCUCUGAUUUCAAUAUUUACCUGUGAUUAUUUGCCUCUGAUCCCAAUGUUACCGGUAUUUAGCCAGUGUUUUUACCCAAGAAAAUAUCUCACCGCUCACUCCACAUCAUGAAGAUGGAACUACAUACUCGCUUUCAAAAAAUCCCAAAAUAAUAUCCGAAGAGAUCAAAGGAAAACGGAGGUCCUCGAAAGGAUUAGCUUGAGUAAUCAAAUUGACAUUCAGAAUCCUAAAAUCACAAAAACAGAACCUGCUUCCAAAAAAAAACCCCGAGCGAUGUCCUAGAAUAUCAAACGACUACAGAGAUCCAUGAAAGGAUUAACUUAAAUAAUCAAGAAGAAUUAAUAUUCAAAAUUCUAAAGCUUUCACUGGAUUCUUUUCUGCUUUUCGUUGUUGAAUUUCUAUGAAUCCCAAAAUUUAUUCUAGAAUGGAGAGACACCAAAUAUCUAUAGAAUCCCUCGAACGCGUGGCUGUGUGGUAAGAAGCUGACUUCCAAAACACAUGGUUCCAGGUUCAACCCCACUGCAUGGCACCUUGGAACUGAUAUAAUUUUGCAGUUGGUAGUAGAGCUGAGUUUGUUUAACACUGGUAAAUAACAAGCUAAAGAGUGAAAACUCUAGGUAGAAGUUUCAAUUUCACUAAAAGUGGAAUAGAGAAAAGAUGGAGAUAAGGAAGAGGGGAAGGAGAGAGUUUAGUGAUUUAAGAAAAAUAACAUUCUAGGGUAUUUUUUUAAAAAUAUAACAUUUUAUUUUCUCUGCUUUUUUUUAAAUAUCUUUUUAAAAAAUUUAUUCCAGUUGCCAUUUAAAAAAAACAUGAAGAAAGUCUUCAUAGACUUAAAAGUUCAAAAGUUUUUUUUUUUUAAACAAACAUUCUAUUUUACAGGCGAGGGGACAUAACUACAGCUAUACUGCCAAGUGCAGAGGAUAGGCAGACCUCACCUUAGAACAAACCUUUCACUAAUGCUCCCCUUAAAAAUAAAAA